rnacentral:tRNA from 1 species
GGCCCGUUGGUCAAGUGGUUAAGACACCGCCCUUUCACGGCGAUAACGGGGGUUCGAAUCCCCCACGGGUCACCA